rfam:Triticum aestivum genome assembly, contig: Triticum_aestivum_CS42_TGACv1_scaffold_159323_2DL
UUCAUACUCCUUCCGCCUGAAAAAGCUUGUCUCUCAAAUGGAUGUAUCUAGCACCAAGUUAGUGCUAGAUACAUCCAUUUGAGGGACAAGCUUGGGACAAGCUUUUUCGGACGGAGGGAGUACAAC